GAUGAACGCUGGCGGCGUGCCUAAUACAUGCAAGUCGAGCGAAUGGAUUAAGAGCUUGCUCUUAUGAAGUUAGCGGCGGACGGGUGAGUAACACGUGGGUAACCUGCCCAUAAGACUGGGAUAACUCCGGGAAACCGGGGCUAAUACCGGAUAACAUUUUGAACCGCAUGGUUCGAAAUUGAAAGGCGGCUUCGGCUGUCACUUAUGGAUGGACCCGCGUCGCAUUAGCUAGUUGGUGGGGUAACGGCGCACCAAGGCAACGAUGCGUAGACGACCUGAGAGGGUGAUCGGCCACACUGGGACUGAGACACGGCCCAGACUCCUACGGGAGGCAGCAGUAGGGAAUCUUCCGCAAUGGACGAAAGUCUGACGGAGCAACGCCGCGUGAGUGAUGAAGGCUUUCGGGUCGUAAAACUCUGUUGUUAGGGAAGAACAAGUGCUAGUUGAAUAAGCUGACACCUUGACGGUACCUAACCAGAAAGCCACGGCUAACUACGUGCCAGCAGCCGCCGUAA
rnacentral:rRNA from 1 species